AGACGGGCCGGUGUGGGCAGCGGGGAAAUUGGGCCCGGGGCUGAGCUGCAUCAGGUCCCGUCCCAGCAUGGUCGAGAUGUCAUAGACAUCGUCAGC